UGAACUCCUUCCUGACACCAUCGGAGCCUCUUUGAGCGCAAGACCUGCUGUUGUCAGGAGACUCGCCAUGCCUUCCGCGGAGAUCAUCAGUGGGAAAACCGUUUCCGCCCAAGUAAGGGAACGACUGAAGAACCAAGUUGCAGAAAUGAAAGCAAAAGUUCCUGGUUUCAGGCCAGGCCUCGCUAUUCUGCAGGUUGGUGACCGGGAUGAUUCAAAUCUCUACAUUAGCAUGAAGCUGAAGGCUGCCGCUGAGAUCGGGAUCAAUGCCAAUCACAUCAAGCUGCCAGGCACUGCUACAGAAGCUGAGGUGCUCAAAUGCAUUAACAAUUUGAAUGAAGACCCUGCCAUCCAUGGGUUUAUAGUGCAAUUGCCUCUGGAUACAAACAAGCCCAUCAACACAGAGAAAAUAACCAAUGCUGUGGCACCCGAAAAAGACGUUGAUGGCUUGAGCAGUAUAAAUGCAGGGAAGCUGUCACGUGGGGACCUCAGCAACUGCUUCAUUCCUUGCACACCCAAAGGAUGCAUGGAACUUAUCAGGCAAACAGGUGUUCAAGUAGCAGGCAAAAAAGCAGUAGUGAUUGGGCGCAGUAAGAUCGUUGGGGCUCCUAUGCAUGACCUGCUGCUUUGGAACCAUGCAACUGUGACCACUUGCCAUUCCAAGACUGCAUCGCUGGCUGAUGAAGUCAGUAAAGCAGAUAUCCUGGUGGUUGCAGCUGGCAAAGCUGAGAUGGUAAAAGGUGAAUGGAUCAAGCCAGGUUCAGUAGUGAUCGACUGUGGAAUCAAUCACAUUCCAGAUAGCACAAAGGCCAGUGGGAAAAGGGUUGUUGGAGAUGUAGCUUAUGCUUCAGCAAAGGAGAGAGCAGCCUAUAUCACCCCUGUACCUGGUGGGGUUGGACCAAUGACAGUUGCAAUGCUGAUGCAGAGUACAGUAGAAAGUGCUCAACGUUUUCUUGAGACGUAUCAACCUGGCAAGUGGAAUAUUCAGUAUAAGCUGCUCACUCCUGUAACUCCUGUUCCAAGUGACAUUGAAGUUUCACGCUCAUGUACUCCUAAGCCCAUUGGUGAGCUGGCCAGAGAAAUUGGCUUGAUUUCAGAUGAAGUAGAGUUGUAUGGUCAAUGCAAAGCCAAAAUCUCACUGUCAACACUGAAGCGUCUUAAAGAUCAACCAGAUGGAAAAUACAUUGUAGUAACAGGCAUAACUCCCACACCACUGGGGGAAGGGAAGAGUACAACAACUGUAGGGCUGGUUCAAGCUUUGGGUGCACACCUUGGUCAGAAUGCCUUUGCCUGUGUCCGCCAACCUUCUCAAGGGCCUACUUUUGGAAUUAAAGGUGGUGCAGCUGGAGGUGGCUAUUCUCAAGUUAUUCCUAUGGAAGAAUUUAAUCUCCAUCUCACGGGUGACAUCCAUGCUAUUACUGCUGCCAAUAACUUAGUUGCUGCUGCUAUUGAUGCCCGCAUCUUCCAUGAGGCUACACAGUCCGAUCAGGCACUCUAUUCACGAUUGGUUCCUUCAGUUGACGGUGUUAGGAAUUUCUCUGAUGUCCAGAUUCGGAGACUACAGAGAUUACAUAUUAUGAAAAUGGACCCAGCAACUUUGACAAAUGAUGAAAUAAGCAAAUUUGUGAGAUUGGAUAUUGAUCCAGAUAGCAUAACAUGGCAACGAGUACUGGAUACAAACGACAGGUUUCUGCGAACCAUUACAAUUGGGCAGUCUCCAUCUGAGAAGGGAUACACACGCACAGCCCAGUUUGACAUUGCAGUAGCUAGUGAGAUCAUGGCAGUUUUAGCACUCACAAACGGCCUGGAGGAUAUGAGAGAACGCCUGGGGAAAAUGGUGGUCGCCUCCAGCAGGAAAGGAGUCCCAAUCACCACAGAAGAUCUGGGAGUGAGCGGUGCCCUGGCAGUUUUGAUGAAAGAUGCUAUUAAGCCCAAUCUCAUGCAGACUUUGGAAGGUAAUCCAGUGUUUGUCCAUGCUGGUCCAUUUGCUAACAUUGCUCAUGGGAACUCAUCUGUCCUGGCAGACAAGAUUGCCCUGAAAGUCGUUGGCAAGGAUGGGUUUGUUGUGACUGAAGCUGGCUUCGGCGCUGAUAUUGGCAUGGAAAAAUUCUUCGACAUCAAGUGUCGGUAUUCCGGUUUGCAGCCUCAUGUGGUAGUCUUGGUUGCCACCAUCCGAGCUCUGAAAAUGCAUGGUGGAGGACCGACGGUUAUGGCUGGAGUCCCCUUGCCCAAAGAAUACAUUGUGGAGAAUAUUCCACUUCUGGAAAAAGGUUGUAGUAACCUGCGCAAGCAAAUCGAAAAUGCCAGAAUUUUUGGUGUUCCAGUAGUGGUGGCAGUCAAUGCAUUCAAAUCAGAUACAGAGGCAGAACUACAGCUGGUCAUCCAGAUGGCUAAGGAAGCUGGUGCUUUGGAUGCUGUCAAAUGCACCCACUGGGCUGAUGGGGGUAAAGGAGCUGUGGCAUUAGCAGAAGCCGUGCAGAGGGCAUCACAGGCCCCAAGCCAUUUCCAGUUCUUGUACAAUGUGGAGCUGCCAGUUGUAGAGAAGAUCAGAAUUAUUGCACAGAAGAUCUAUGGAGCAAAUGACAUUGAACUGCUGCCAGAAGCCCAGUUUAAAAUCAUUCAAUAUACCAAACAGGGAUUUGGAAACCUGCCCAUCUGCAUGGCUAAAACCCAUUUGUCAUUGUCUCAUGACCCAGAGCAGAAAGGAGUGCCCACCGGAUUCAUCUUACCCAUAAGAGAUAUCCGAGCCAGCGUGGGUGCAGGAUUCCUUUAUCCCUUAGUAGGAACAAUGAGCACAAUGCCAGGACUUCCUACCAGGCCUUGUUUCUAUGACAUUGAUCUGGAUCCUGUGACUGGACAAGUAAAUGGACUAUUCUAAGACAAAUCAACAACCAAAAUGAGAAAAUUACAGAAAAGUCAGUCUUCGUUUAGAUCUAAUCACACUCAAAAAUCACUUUUCAAUCUGGCUUCUUUCAACAAAACAAUGGGGGGAAAACAAUGGAAGUCUCAGCCAUAUCAACUCAAUAGAAAUAAAAAUAUGAGCCUUGGCUAUCAAAAGCUCGUCUGUUUCUCCAAUAUCAUGAUAUAUUGAUAUUGGGGAAACUUAUUUUGACAAAAGUUGAGUAAGCUCUCCGUGGUUCCUAGAAGUCUUUGGAAACAAUUUAAACUUUUU